rnacentral:lncRNA from 1 species
AUUCUUGAAAGAGAAGAUAGGUCUAUGGCAUAAAGGAAGAUCAGAAAGGAGAGGAACUGUGCUGGAGUCUGUCUUUCCCUUACUCACAAUUCAAUCCAGUCGGCUGGGAAGAGCUGAGCAGAGAAGAGAGUUGCUGAAAGGACCCAAACAGGAGCUUCCUUCUGUAAGUGAGAAGUAUCUCCUUCAGGAAAGAAUCUUUGCACCACAGAACAGGAUGGAAGGGAGGUGGUAAGAUGCUAAGGAAGACUGAUGCUGAGCAUGGCCAAGGAGUGGAACAGAUCUGCCCCAGGAUCCGAACCCACAAACCUGGGCCACCAAAGAGCACGGCCCCCUGCCCCAGGAUUCUUCAGUCACCAUGCUUGCCCAGAGAGAAAGGUAUGGUGGCUGGUGCUUUCAGGAGAGGGGAGAUGGAGGUCGGGGGAGGGUUGUGACAUGCAGGGUGGGUGUUAAUCCCUGCAAUUACUCCCAGAUAUCCCCAUUGUACUUUCCAGAAUCUUUAACUCUACUUGUAGAAACAGAGAAAGGGUGAGAAUCAGCUGAUGCUGCAGUUGGGCAAAUCAACAGCACGAGAGACCAUUUGGGGGUUUUCACAAAAGCCAACUGCACACUCAGGGCUGGGAGGAGGA